AUUGAACGCUGGCGGCAUGCCUUACACAUGCAAGUCGAACGGCAGCACGGGAGCAAUCCUGGUGGCGAGUGGCGAACGGGUGAGUAAAGCAUCGGAACGUGCCCAGUCGUGGGGGAUAACGUAGCGAAAGCUACGCUAAUACCGCAUACGAUCUGUGGAUGAAAGCGGGGGACCGUAAGGCCUCGCGCGAUUGGAGCGGCCGAUGUCAGAUUAGGUAGUUGGUGGGGUAAAAGCUCACCAAGCCGACGAUCUGUAGCUGGUCUGAGAGGACGACCAGCCACACUGGGACUGAGAAACGGCCCAGACUCCUACGGGAGGCAGCAGUGGGGAAUUUUGGACAAUGGGCGCAAGCCUGAUCCAGCAAUGCCGCGUGCAGGAUGAAGGCCUUCGGGUUGUAAACUGCUUUUGUACGGAGCGAAAAGGCUUCCACUAAUACUGGGGGCUCAUGACGGUACCGUAAGAAUAAGCACCGGCUAACUACGUGCCAGCCGCCGCGGUAAAAC
rnacentral:rRNA from 1 species